rnacentral:rRNA from 1 species
CACGUAGGGCGCGAGCGUUGUCCGGAAUUAUUGGGCGUAAAGAGCUCGUAGGCGGUCUGUCGCGUCUGCUGUGAAAACUCGGGGCUUAACCCCGGGCCUGCAGUGGGUACGGGCAGACUAGAGUGCGGUAGGGGAGACUGGGAAUUCCUGGUGUAGCGGUGAAAUGCGCAGAUAUCAGGAGGAACAUCGGUGGCGAAGGCGGGUCUCUGGGCCGUAACUGACGCUGAGGAGCGAAAGCGUGGGGAGCGAACAGG